rnacentral:tRNA from 1 species
GCUGGUGUAGCUCAGGGGUAGAGCGUGUCCUUGGUAAGGACAAGGUCGGAGGUUCAAUCCCUCCCAUCAGCACCA